rnacentral:rRNA from 1 species
GACGAACGCUGGCGGCGUGCUUAACACAUGCAAGUUCGAACGAUGAAAGCCUAGCUUCGCUAGGCGGAUUAGUCGGCGAACGGGUGAGUAAUACGUGAGUCGACCUACCUUCGACUCUGGGAUAAGCCUGGGAAAACUGGGUCUAAUACCGGAUACGACCAAUCUCUGCAUGGGGUGUUGGUGGAAAGCGUUAUGGAGUGGUUUUAGAUGGGCUCACGGCCUAUCAGCUUGUUGGUGAGGUAAUGGCUUACCAAGGCGACGACGGGUAGCCGGCCUGAGAGGGUGACCGGCCACACUGGGACUGAGACACGGCCCAGACUCCUACGGGAGGCAGCAGUGGGGAAUAUUGCACAAUGGGCGCAAGCCUGAUGCAGCGACGCCGCGUGAGGGAUGACGGCCUUCGGGUUGUAAACCUCUGUUAGCAUCGAAGAAGCGAAAGUGACGGUAGGUGCAGAGAAAGCGCCGGCUAACUACGUGCCAGCAGCCGCGGUAAUACGUAGGGCGCGAGCGUUGCCCGGAAUUAUUGGGCGUAAAGAGCUUGUAGGCGGUUGGUCGCGUCUGCUGUGAAAGGCCGGGGCUUAACUCCGGUUUUGCAGUGGGUACGGGCUAACUAGAGUGCAGUAGGGGAGACUGGAAUUCCUGGUGUAGCGGUGGAAUGCACAGAUAUCAGGAGGAACACCGAUGGCGAAGGCAGGUCUCUGGGCUGUAACUGACGCUGAGAAGCGAAAGCAUGGGGAGCGAACAGGAUUAGAUACCCUGGUAGUCCGUGCCGUAAACGUUGGGCACUAGGUGUGGGGGACAUUCCACGUUUUCCGCGCCGUAGCUAACGCAUUAAGUGCCCCGCCUGGGGAGUACGGCCGCAAGGCUAAAACUCAAAGGAAUUGACGGGGGCCCGCACAAGCGGCGGAGCAUGCGGAUUAAUUCGAUGCAACGCGAAGAACCUUACCAAGGCUUGACAUGCAUUAGAUCGCGUCAGAGAUGGCGUUUCCCUUCGGGGCUGGUGUACAGGUGGUGCAUGGUUGUCGUCAGCUCGUGUCGUGAGAUGUUGGGUUAAGUCCCGCAACGAGCGCAACCCUCGUUCUAUGUUGCCAGCGGUUCGGCUGGGGACUCAUAGGAGACUGCCGGGGUCAACUCGGAGGAAGGUGGGGAUGACGUCAAAUCAUCAUGCCCCUUAUGUCUUGGGCUUCACGCAUGCUACAAUGGCCGGUACAGAGGGUUGCGAUACUGUGAGGUGGAGCUAAUCCCUUAAAGCCGGUCUCAGUUCGGAUUGGGGUCUGCAAACUCGACCCCAUGAAGUCGGAGUCGCUAGUAAUCGCAGAAUCAGCAAACGCUGCGGUGAAUACGUUUCCCGGGC